AACCUGAGUGGUGUAAGCAAACACUUUAAGUUGUAAACUUAAGAUUAUUAAUUUCUAGGUUA
rnacentral:tRNA from 1 species